GCACCCGUAGCUCAGUUGGAUAGAGCAUCGGAUUUCUAAUCCGACGGUCAGUGGUUCGAGUCCACUCGGGUGCG
rnacentral:tRNA from 1 species